CACGGAGGGUGCAAGCGUUGUUCGGAAUUACUGGGCGUAAAGGGCGUGUAGGCGGCUUGGUAAGUCUGAAGUGAAAUCCGUCGGCUCAACCGACGAACUGCUUCAGAUACUGCCUCGCUUGAGUACGGGAGAGGAAAGCGGAAUUCCCAGUGUAGAGGUGAAAUUCGUAGAUAUUGGGAAGAACACCGGUGGCGAAGGCGGCUUUCUGGACCGAUACUGACGCUGAGACGCGAAAGCGUGGGGAGCAAACAGGAUUAGAUACCCCCGUA
rnacentral:rRNA from 1 species